rnacentral:rRNA from 1 species
UCAAGUGAAGAAGCGCAUACGGUGGAUGCCUUGGCAGUCAGAGGCGAUGAAAGACGUGGUAGCCUGCGAAAAGCUUCGGGGAGUCGGCAAACAGACUGUGAUCCGGAGAUGUCUGAAUGGGGGAACCCAGCCAUCAUAAGAUGGUUAUCUUACACUGAAUACAUAGGUGUAAGAGGCGAACCAGGGGAACUGAAACAUCUAAGUACCCUGAGGAAAAGAAAUCAACCGAGAUUCCCUUAGUAGUGGCGAGCGAACGGGGACCAGCCCUUAAGUUGUAUUGAGAUUAGCGGAACGCUCUGGAAAGUGCGGCCAUAGUGGGUGAUAGCCCUGUACGCGAAAAUCCCUUUGCAAUGAAAUCGAGUAGGACGGGGCACGAGAAACCUUGUCUGAAUAUGGGGGGACCAUCCUCCAAGGCUAAAUACUACUGACUGACCGAUAGUGAACCAGUACCGUGAGGGAAAGGCGAAAAGAACCGCGGAGAGCGGAGUGAAAUAGAUCCUGAAACCGUAUGCGUACAAGCAGUGGGAGCCCACUUUGUUGGGUGACUGCGUACCUUUUGUAUAAUGGGUCAGCGACUUAUUUUCAGUGGCGAGCUUAACCGAAUAGGGGAGGCGUAGCGAAAGCGAGUCUUAAUAGGGCGUCUAGUCGCUGGGAAUAGACCCGAAACCGGGCGAUCUAUCCAUGGGCAGGUUGAAGGUUGGGUAACACUAACUGGAGGACCGAACCGACUACCGUUGAAAAGUUAGCGGAUGACCUGUGGAUCGGAGUGAAAGGCUAAUCAAGCUCGGAGAUAGCUGGUUCUCCUCGAAAGCUAUUUAGGUAGCGCCUCAUGUAUCACUGUAGGGGGUAGAGCACUGUUUCGGCUAGGGGGUCAUCCCGACUUACCAAACCGAUGCAAACUCCGAAUACCUACAAGUGCCGAGCAUGGGAGACACACGGCGGGUGCUAACGUCCGUCGUGAAAAGGGAAACAACCCAGACCGUCAGCUAAGGUCCCAAAGUCAUGGUUAAGUGGGAAACGAUGUGGGAAGGCUUAGACAGCUAGGAGGUUGGCUUAGAAGCAGCCACCCUUUAAAGAAAGCGUAAUAGCUCACUAGUCGAGUCGGCCUGCGCGGAAGAUGUAACGGGGCUCAAACCAUGCACCGAAGCUACGGGUAUCACCUUUGGUGAUGCGGUAGAGGAGCGUUCUGUAAGCCUGUGAAGGUGAGUUGAGAAGCUUGCUGGAGGUAUCAGAAGUGCGAAUGCUGACAUGAGUAACGACAAUGGGUGUGAAAAACACCCACGCCGAAAGACCAAGGUUUCCUGCGCAACGUUAAUCGACGCAGGGUUAGUCGGUCCCUAAGGCGAGGCUGAAAAGCGUAGUCGAUGGAAAACAGGUUAAUAUUCCUGUACUUCUGGUUAUUGCGAUGGAGGGACGGAGAAGGCUAGGCCAGCCUGGCGUUGGUAGUCCAGGUUUAAGGUGGUAGGCUGAGAUCUUAGGUAAAUCCGGGAUCUUAAGGCCGAGAGCUGAUGACGAGUGUUCUUUUAGAACAUGAAGUGGUUGAUGCCAUGCUUCCAAGAAAAGCUUCUAAGCUUCAGGUAACCAGGAACCGUACCCCAAACCGACACAGGUGGUUGGGUAGAGAAUACCAAGGCGCUUGAGAGAACUCGGGUGAAGGAACUAGGCAAAAUGGCACCGUAACUUCGGGAGAAGGUGCGCCGGUGAGGGUGAAGCAUUUACUGCGUAAGCCCACGCCGGUCGAAGAUACCAGGCCGCUGCGACUGUUUAUUAAAAACACAGCACUCUGCAAACACGAAAGUGGACGUAUAGGGUGUGACGCCUGCCCGGUGCCGGAAGGUUAAUUGAUGGGGUUAGCGCAAGCGAAGCUCUUGAUCGAAGCCCCGGUAAACGGCGGCCGUAACUAUAACGGUCCUAAGGUAGCGAAAUUCCUUGUCGGGUAAGUUCCGACCUGCACGAAUGGCGUAACGAUGGCGGCGCUGUCUCCACCCGAGACUCAGUGAAAUUGAAAUCGCUGUGAAGAUGCAGUGUAUCCGCGGCUAGACGGAAAGACCCCGUGAACCUUUACUAUAGCUUUGCACUGGACUUUGAAUUUGCUUGUGUAGGAUAGGUGGGAGGCUUUGAAGCGUGGACGCCAGUUUGCGUGGAGCCAACCUUGAAAUACCACCCUGGCAACUUUGAGGUUCUAACUCAGGUCCGUUAUCCGGAUCGAGGACAGUGUAUGGUGGGUAGUUUGACUGGGGCGGUCUCCUCCUAAAGAGUAACGGAGGAGUACGAAGGUGCGCUCAGACCGGUCGGAAAUCGGUCGUAGAGUAUAAAGGCAAAAGCGCGCUUGACUGCGAGACAGACACGUCGAGCAGGUACGAAAGUAGGUCUUAGUGAUCCGGUGGUUCUGUAUGGAAGGGCCAUCGCUCAACGGAUAAAAGGUACUCCGGGGAUAACAGGCUGAUACCGCCCAAGAGUUCAUAUCGACGGCGGUGUUUGGCACCUCGAUGUCGGCUCAUCACAUCCUGGGGCUGAAGCCGGUCCCAAGGGUAUGGCUGUUCGCCAUUUAAAGUGGUACGCGAGCUGGGUUUAGAACGUCGUGAGACAGUUCGGUCCCUAUCUGCCGUGGACGUUUGAGAUUUGAGAGGGGCUGCUCCUAGUACGAGAGGACCGGAGUGGACGAACCUCUGGUGUUCCGGUUGUCACGCCAGUGGCAUUGCCGGGUAGCUAUGUUCGGAAAAGAUAACCGCUGAAAGCAUCUAAGCGGGAAACUUGCCUCAAGAUGAGAUCUCACUGGAACCUUGAGUUCCCUGAAGGGCCGUCGAAGACUACGACGUUGAUAGGUUGGGUGUGUAAGCGCUGUGAGGCGUUGAGCUAACCAAUACUAAUUGCCCGUGAGGCUUGACCAU